rnacentral:rRNA from 1 species
UACAGAGGGUGCAAGCGUUGUUCGGAAUUAUUGGGCGUAAAGGGCGCGUAGGCGGUGCUGUAAGUCUGUAGUGAAAUCUCUGGGCUCAACUCAGAGUCUGCUAUAGAAACUGCAGUGCUGGAGUGUGGGAGAGGUGAGUGGAAAUUCCCGGUGUAGCGGUGAAAUGCGUAGAUAGUCGGGAGGAACACCUGUGGCGAAAGCGGCUCACUGGACCACAACUGACGCUGAGGCGCGAAAGCUAGGGGAGCAAACAGG